rnacentral:rRNA from 1 species
AAUAUUGGACAAUGGGCGAAAGCCUGAUCCAGCCAUGCCGUGUGUGUGAAGAAGGUCUUCGGAGUGUAAAGCACUUUAUGUUGGGAGGAAGGGCAGUAAGCUAAUACCUUGCUGUUGUGACGUUACCGACAGUAUAAGCACCGGCUAACUUCGUGCUAGCAGCCGCGGUAAUAGAAAGGGUGCAAGCGUUAAUCGGAAUUACUGGGCGGAAAGCGCGCGUAGGUGGUUUGUUAAGUUGGGAGUGAAAGCCCCGGGCUCAACCUGGGAACUACUUUCAAAACUGGCAAGCUAGAGUAUGGCAGAGGGAGGUGAAAUUUCCUGUGUAGCGGUGAAAUGCGUAGAUAUAGGAAGGAACACCAGUGGCGAAGGCGACCACCUGGGCCAAUACUGACACUGAGGUGCGAAAGCGUGGGGAGCGAACA